AUCUCUUUCUCUUUCCUCAGACCUUCAAUGGCGUUGGCCAUGGUGAUUCUUGCUCUGUUUCUACUCCUCUGUUUUUGCGCUGCUUUGCUACGAUGGAAUGAAGUUCGAUAUAGCAAAAAGGGGUUGCCUCCAGGUACAAUGGGAUGGCCUGUUUUUGGGGAAACUACUGAGUUUCUUAAACAAGGUCCAAACUUUAUGAAAUCUCAAAGAGCGAGGUAUGGGAGCAUUUUCAAGUCCCAUAUUUUGGGGUGUCCUACGAUUGUUUCUAUGGAUCCUGAGGUUAAUAGAUAUGUUUUAAUGAAUGAAUCAAAAGGGCUUGUCCCUGGUUACCCUCAAUCCAUGCUUGACAUACUUGGAAAAUGCAAUAUCGCCGCCGUCCAUGGCGGCGCUCACAAGCUCAUGAGAGGUGCUCUGCUUGCUAUUGUUAGCCCCACCAUGAUUAAAGACCGUCUUCUUCCUAAAAUCGAUGACUUUAUGCGAUCUCAUUUGAGGAAUUGGGAUCCCCAAAUCAUUGAUAUCCAAGAAAAGACUAAAGAGAUGGCUCUCCGGUCGUCUUUGAAGCAGAUUGCUGGAAUCGAAUCCGGUCCGUUGUCAGAAUCUUUCAUCCCGGAGUUCUUCAAGCUCGUCCUCGGCACCCUCUCGCUCCCCAUCGAUCUUCCCGGCACGAACUACCGCCGAGGAAUUCAGGCCAGGAAGAACAUAAUAAAGCUAUUGCAGCAGCUGAUAAAUGAGAGAAGAGAUUCAAAGAUACAAAAGGAUGACAUGCUUGGGUAUUUUAUGAGUGAGGAGAACAAAUAUAAGCUAAACGAUGAAGAGAUUAUUGAUCA
rnacentral:misc_RNA from 1 species